rnacentral:rRNA from 1 species
GGGGAACGCUUAAGAUUGAGCUGUGAUGCGGAGAGGAAAUUGUUUCMUCGAGUCGUUGAUUUCACACUGCCGAGAAAAGCCUCUAGAUAGAGAUUAGGUGCCCGUACCGCAAACCGACACAGGUAGUCAAGAUGRGAAKUCUAAGGUGAGCGAGCGAACUCUCGUUAAGGAACUCGGCAAAAUGACCCCGUAACUUCGGGAGAAGGGGUGCUCUUUAGGGUKMAMGCCCAGAAGAGCCGCAGUGAAUAGGCCCAAGCGACUGUUUAUCAAAAACACAGGUCUCUGCUAAACCGUAAGGUGAUGUAUAGGGGCUGACGCCUGCCCGGUGCUGGAAGGUUAAGAGGAGUGGWUAGCUUCUGCGAAKCUACGAAUCGAAGCCCCAGUAAACGGCGGCCGUAACUAUAACGGUCCUAAGGUAGCGAAAUUCCUUGUCGGGUAAGUUCCGACCCGCACGAAAGGCGUAACGAUUUGGGCACUGUCUCAACGAGAGACUCGGUGAAAUCAUAGUACCUGUGAAGAUGCAGGUUACCCGCGACAGGACGGAAAGACCCCGUGGAGCUUUACUGUAGCCUGAUAUUGAAAUUCGGCACAGCUUGUACAGGAUAGGUAGGAGCCUUUGAAACGUGAGCGCUAGCUUACGUGGAGGCGYUGGUGGGAUACUACCCUAGCUGUGUUGGCUUUCUAACCCGCACCACUUAUCGUGGUGGGAGACAGUGUCAGGCGGGCAGUUUGACUGGGGCGGUCGCCUCCUAAAAGGUAACGGAGGCGCUCAAAGGUUCCCUCAGAAUGGUUGGAAAUCAUUCAUAGAGUGUAAAGGCAUAAGGGAGCUUGACUGCGAGACCUACAAGUCGAGCAGGGUCGAAAGACGGACUUAGUGAUCCGGUGGUUCCGYAUGGAAGGGCCAUCGCUCAACGGAUAAAAGCUACCCCGGGGAUAACAGGCUUAUCUCCCCCAAGAGUUCACAUCGACGGGGAGGUUUGGCACCUCGAUGUCGGCUCAUCGCGUCCUGGGGCUGUAGUCGGUCCCAAGGGUUGGGCUGUUCGCCCAUUAAAGCGGUACGCGAGCUGGGUUCCGACCGUCGUGAGACAGUUCGGUCCCUAUCCUUCGU